rnacentral:rRNA from 1 species
UACCGGCAGCCCAAGUGAUGGCCGAUCUUAUUGGGCCUAAGGCGUCCGUAGCUGGCCACGCAAGUCCAUCGGGAAAUCCACCUGCCCAACAGGUGGGCGCCCGGUAAAAACUGCGUGGCUUGGGACCGGAAGGCGCGACGGGUACGUCCGGGGUAGGAGUGAAAUCCGGUAAUCCUGGACGGACCGCCGAUGGCGAAAGCACGUCGCGAGAACGGAUCCGACAGUGAGGGACGAAAGCCAGGGUCUCGAACCGG